GUCUCAAAGAUUAAGCCAUGCAUGUCUCAGUGCAAGCCGAAUUAAGGUGAAACCGCGAAAGGCUCAUUAAAUCAGCUAUAAUUUAAUUGAUGGUACAAUCACUUUUACUUGGAUAACUGUGGCAAUUCUAGAGCUAAUACAUGCAAAAUGAAUUCCGACCGCGCGGGCGGGCUCUUUUACAAGCUCGUCUUCGCGGAACGAAUGCUUUUAUUAGAACAAAACCAAUCGGAUCUUUCGUCGGCUCGCGUCACUUUUUUUUCGCUCUUUCCUCUCGUUCGGUGACGUCUUUCGCGCUCUUCCUCCGUUCCUUUCUCCGCGAUCGCUUCGUCGAGAUUGAUUUCUCGCGCGAGCGAAAACGGAGAGUAUACGGGGAAUGGAGGGCACACGGGAGCGCGAAAGCAUCCGUUCGAAACAACGGGGAAAGUUGCGAAAAAAGAACGGUGUGCGCGGAAAAAGCUCGAAAGGAAUCCGCAAAAAUAAUUUUGAGGAAUCUGAAUAACUUUACGCUGAUCGCACGGUCACGAACCGGCGACGCAUCUUUCAAAUGUCUGACUUAUCAACUUUCGAUGGUAGGCUACGCGCCUACCAUGGUGAUAACGGGUGACGGGGAAUCAGGGUUCGAUUCCGGAGAGGGAGCCUGAGAAACGGCUACCACAUCCAAGGAAGGCAGCAGGCGCGCAAAUUACCCACUCCCGGCACGGGGAGGUAGUGACGAAAAAUAACGAUGCAGGACUCAUUACGAGGCUCUGCAAUCGGAAUGAGAACACUCUAAAUCAUUUAACGAGUAUCCAUUGGAGGGCAAGUCUGGUGCCAGCAGCCGCGGUAAUUCCAGCUCCAAUAGCGUAUAUUAAGGUUGCUGCGGAUAAAAAGCUCGUAGUUUGAUUUGUGUUUCGAGCGAAUGGUUCCAAAAAAUUGUCGAUGAUAAGAGAAUUUUUCACAACCGUUUCGCGACGAAACUUACCGUCGGAGAGAGAAAGCGUCGAAAGGAAAAAGAGGAAAAAAAUAAAAAAGACGAAAAAAAGUUCGGACGGUUCGCAAGUUGUUUGUGAAACUCUUUUACAUGAGACGAAACAAAACGAAACUUGGUUUCCAAAACCCUCCGAUGCGAAGGGAGAGAAACACAAACGUCGGAAACGUCGUCGCUUUAAGCGAACUAGAAAAUUUCACGCGCGUUUUCCGUUUCGGCGCAUCGGAAAGAAGAAAAAAAAAGGAAGGAUAGGAGAAAAGAAAAAGAAAAAAAGGGGGAGGACGUCGACGGUCGUCGUCUCCUCCUCCUCCUCCUCCUUCUUCUUUUUCUCUGCCGUUCUUUCGUAUUCUCUUGACGAUGCGUCGUAGAGGGGAGGGCCGCGAGAGGUUUUGCGCGUCGCAGGACGCGUCGUUUGCGCGGGCGAACGUUUCGAGAUUGCGUGCGAUAUUUUUUUCUCCAAAAAAAAGCAAAUCGCUUUAAUGCAACGCGAUCGGUGUCUGCCGAUCUAAAAAGAAAAACAAAAAAAAAAAAAAAAAAAAAGAGCGAUCUCGCUUGCGAGUGUGUCCGGUUUUUUAUUUUUUUUUGCGUCUUGGUUAUUUUUCUUCGAAAACGACAAAACAAAAGAUCAAAUUUCUUUUCCGACGCGAUCUCAACACAAUCCCGUCGCGCGCGUGGUUUCGUUCGCGAGCACCGCGCCGCGCGUCGGGCCGACACGUUUACUUUGAACAAAACUGAGUGCUUAAAGCAGGCCAAUUGAAACCGCCGGAAAGUCUUAUGCAUGGAAUAAUGGAAUAGGGCCACGGUUCUAUUUUGUUGGUUUUCGGAAUUUCCGAGGCAAUGAUUAAUGGGGACAGGCGGGGGCAUUAGUAUUGCGACGUUAGAGGUGAAAUUCUUGGAUCGUCGCAAGACUGACCUAAGCGAAAGCAUUUGCCAAGGAUGUUUUCUUUAAUCAAGAACGAAAGUUGGAGGUUCGAAGGCGAUCAGAUACCGCCCUAGUUCUUACCGUAAACUAUGCCGGCUAGCGAUCCGUCGACGUUCGUUUAGAUGAUUCGGCGGGCAGCUUGAGGGAAACCAAAGCCUUCGGGUUCCGGGGGAAGUAUGGUUGCAAAGCUGAAACUUAAAGGAAUUGACGGAAGGGCACCACCAGGAGUGGAGCUUGCGGCUUAAUUUGACUCAACACGGGAAACCUCACCAGGCCCGGGCACCGGAAGGAUUGACAGAUCAAGAGCUCUUUCUUGAUUCGGUGGGUGGUGGUGCAUGGCCGUUCUUAGUUGGUGGAGCGAUUUGUCUGGUUAAUUCCGAUAACGAACGAGACUCUAGCCUGUUAACUAGGCGUCGAUUCGAUUCCUCCGCGGUCGAAUCGUCCGGCAUGGAACGGAUUCGGUUUUUUUUCAAUUUGCGAGCGCGCUCGACGAGGGAAAGCGGUCGUCUCGCCCUUCUCUCACGCGUUCUUUUCUCUCUCGGGAGGAGAGCGCGGCGGGAGGAGGAGGACGAUGCGCGGCUCUCGCCGAAACGCGUUCGCAAAGAAAACUCGAACGCGUUCAAAACACUGUCGGCGUGAUUGAAAUCUUCUUAGAGGGACAAGCGGCGUCCAGCCGCGCGAGAUUGAGCAAUAACAGGUCUGUGAUGCCCUUAGAUGUUCUGGGCCGCACGCGUGCUACACUGAAGGAAUCAACGUGUGCGUACAAAGUCCUAGGCCGAGAGGUCCGGGUAACCCGUUGAAUUUCCUUCGUGGUAGGGAUCGGGGCUUGCAAUUGUUUCCCGUGAACUAGGAAUUCCCAGUAAGCGCGAGUCAUAAGCUCGCGUUGAUUACGUCCCUGCCCUUUGUACACACCGCCCGUCGCUACUACCGAUCGAACGAUUUAGUGAGGUCUUUGGACUCGUACGCGGGGGACGGAGCGCGCGGCGCGUUUUUGCGAGCGCGCCGCCGAACGACUGCUCGCAGCUGCGAGGAAGACGACCGAACUUAAUCGUUUAGAGGAAGUAAAAGUCGUAACAAGGUU
rnacentral:rRNA from 1 species